rnacentral:rRNA from 1 species
AUCCCGUCUUUGGCACGGAUGCCUGGUGCUUCUGUGAUGCGCUCUCGAAGAGUCGAGUUGUUUGGGAAUGCAGCUCAAAAUGGGUGGUGAACUCCAUCUAAAGCUAAAUAUUGGCGAGAGACCGAUAGCGAACAAGUACCGUGAGGGAAAGAUGAAAAGCACUUUGGAAAGAGAGUGAAACAGUACGUGAAAUUGUUGAAAGGGAAACGCUUGAAGUCAGUCGCGUCGACCGAGACUCAGCCUUGCCUUGGCUUGGUGUACUUCUCGGCCCGACGGGUCAGCAUCAAUUUUGCCCCUCGGAUAAUGGCAGGGGAAAGGUGGCACCUUUACGGGUGUGUUAUAGUCUCCUGUCGAAUGCGAGGGGUGGGAUUGAGGAACUCAGCGCGCACCUCAGUGUCGGGGCUUCGGCCCACGUCACGCGCUUAGGAUGCUGGCGUAAUGGCUUUAAACGACCCGUCUUGAAACACGGACCAAGGAGUCCAACACGCCCGCGAGUGUUCGGGUGGAAAACCCGUGCGCGUAAUGAAAGUGAAAGUUGGGACCUCUGUCGUGGAGGGCACCGACGCCCGGACCAGACCUUCUGUGACGGAUCUGCGGUAGAGCGUGUGUGUUGGGACCCGAAAGAUGGUGAACUAUGCCUGAAUAGGGUGAAGCCAGAGGAAACUCUGGUGGAGGCUCGUAGCGAUUCUGACGUGCAAAUCGAUCGUCAAAUUUGGGUAUAGGGGCGAAAGACUAAUCGAACCAUCUAGUAGCUGGUUCCUGCC